rnacentral:rRNA from 1 species
AACGAACGCUGGCGGCAGGCCUAAAACAUGCAAGUCGAACGGGUGUAGCAAUACAUCAGUGGCGCACGGGUGAGUAACGCGUGGGAACAUGCCCCUUAGUACGGGACAACGUCGGGAAACUGACGCUAAUACCGUAUAAUAUCUCCGGAUCAAAGAUUUAUCGCUGAGGGAGUGGCCCGCGUCUGAUUAGCUAGUUGGUGAGGUAAUGGCUCACCAAGGCUACGAUCAGUAGCAGGUCUGAGAGGAUGAUCUGCCACACUGGGACUGAGACACGGCCCAGACUCCUACGGGAGGCAGCAGUUAGGAAUAUUGGACAAUGGGCGAAAGCCUGAUCCAGCCAUGCCGCGUGUGUGAUGAAGGCCCUAGGGUUGUAAAGCACUUUCGUUGGGGAUGAUAAUGACCGUAC